GUAGGUGAACCUGCGGAAGGAUCAUUACGUAUGGUAGGCCGGUCUGACCGGUUCUAUUCAACCCUGUUUUUUGCGCACCCUUUGUUUCCUCGGCAGGCUUGCCUGCCAGUAGGACCUUUUCCAACUCUUUGUGUCAAAGCAAUCAGCGUCAAACAAAACAAAUCAAUGGUAACAACUUUCAACAACGGAUCUCUUGGUUCUG
rnacentral:misc_RNA from 1 species